rnacentral:antisense_RNA from 1 species
GGAAGGGAGGAAGCGUAGAAGGUGCCGAUGCACUUUUCCUCUCUCCAGCCCUCCUGACUGCUCCAAGAAUUUCAUCGAACAAGACUCAAAGAGGCCCAGCUGCUCUGCGUUUUGAUUCUUCUCCCUCUCUCAGUCCACACUGACCUGGGAGGGGCUUCUCAAACACCACAUUUCCUAGCAUGCUGUGAGAAGAGGACUGUGAGCUAAGAAGGGAGAAAAGCCAAAUAAAAACACAGACAAACCAACCAACCAAGCACUGACGAGCCAGUAAAGAGGGAACUGUGGGGGAAUCAGGGCUGAGAGAAUCUCUGAUACAGCAGCGGAAAUAGGCACUCCCUCCUCAUCAACAAACACCUGACCUGGGUAGACCCUCUGCUUACCAAGAUCCAGUCCACCUUUUGACAUCAGCAUUCAUGCUGCCUCUUUUUACGAACCAAGCCAAAGUGGUCCCUUCCUCUGGAAAUUAUAGGAUACUUAAUGUACAUCAUAUCCAGGUGGGCGGUUCUCCACUGGCUACAAACAUCCAGCUUUGACUGUCUGACCCAGCCCCCUUUCCAGCCUCCAGUCCUACCACGGCGCCUGACACCGGCUACAUCAAACUCCUGGAGCAACCAGAACUCAAGGCCCUUUUU